UUUUUUUUGUGACCAGGAUGUUUGGUAGACAGUGAACUGAAAUCCAGGACCAGGAACAGUACUCUUAAACAACUCUUCGGACUUCAAAAAACCUCUUCAGAUAGUAGAUUUGUCCCAGUGUCAUGGCAACUAGUACAAGAGCUUCAAAGAAUGACCAAAGGACCACUCUGCUGUUUGUGUUGUCAUUAAUUGCUCUAUGUAUUCUCUCACGAACUUCCAUGUACUCCUGUUCAUGCUUUACAGCUGUCAUGGCCACUGCUAACUCAUUAAUCAUCUCUUCUAGCUUGUUCUGAUGAGCUUCUGUCUCCAUAUCUUGCCCCUUUGGAGCUUCCCCAAUAUCAAUUGUGAACAUCACUAUCUUGGGAGUCAUGGUGGACAUUCUGUUACUAAAACAAAACUUGUAAGUUCCAUCCAUGUGGGCGGCAAAUGUGUAUUUUCCACUGGACUCUCGAUCGCCUUUAUAAAUUCCUUUAUUAUCAGGCCCUGUAAUCCACAACAUCUUUAAUCUGACUGGUUUGGUGAUAUUUCUA
rnacentral:lncRNA from 1 species